CCUACGGGAGGCAGCAGUGAGGAAUAUUGGUCAAUGGACGAGAGUCUGAACCAGCCAAGUAGCGUGAAGGAUGACUGCCCUAUGGGUUAUAAACUUCUUUUAUAUGGGAAUAAAAUGUUCCACGUGUGGGAUUUUGUAUGUACCAUAUGAAUAAGGAUCGGCUAACUCCGGGCCAGCAGCCGCGGUAAUACGGAGGAUCCGAGCGUUAUCCGGAUUUAUUGGGUUUAAGGGGAGCGUAGGUGGAUUGUUAAGUCAGUUGUGAAAGUUUGCGGCUCAACCGUAAAAUUGCAGUUGAAACUGGCAGUCUGGAGUACAGUAGAGGUGGGCGGAAUUCGUGGUGUAGCGGUGAAAUGCUUAGAUAUCACGAAGAACUCCGAUUGCGAAGGCAGCUCACUGGACUGCAACUGACACUGAGGCUCGAAAGUGUGGGUAUCAAACAGGAUUAGAUACCCCAGUAGUC
rnacentral:rRNA from 1 species